UAAACAGCCCUUUUCAGGGCUACCAACAUUUUUUAUGAGGAACGA
rfam:Trichomalopsis sarcophagae strain Alberta scaffold2304, whole genome shotgun sequence.